UACGUAGGGUGCGAGCGUUGUCCGGAAUUAUUGGGCGUAAAGAGCUUGUAGGCGGUUUGUCGCGUCUGCUGUGAAAAUCCGGGGCUCAACCCCGGACUUGCAGUGGGUACGGGCAGACUAGAGUGUGGUAGGGGAGACUGGAAUUCCUGGUGUAGCGGUGGAAUGCGCAGAUAUCAGGAGGAACACCGGUGGCGAAGGCGGGUCUCUGGGCCGAUACUGACGCUGAGGAGCGAAAGCGUGGGGGAGCGAAACAGG
rnacentral:rRNA from 1 species